AAAGGAGGAUCGCUGGUUGCAAUGUUGGCCACCCUGCCUAGAAGACCCAUAUAUUUCACUUGCAUCGAAGUCAAAUUCAGCAUGUCUACUUGAUAACGAAUCAUGCUUCUACAAAGGACAUAAUUGAUCUGAAAUAUCGAUAAUAUUUAAUUUCCAUAGGUGUCCUGAUGUGCUUUUUCUCUGGGAUUGAACAAGCGUUGAGUUGGGGUUCGUCAAAGUAUCAAAUGUUUGAUGUCAAAGGCGCAGAAGAACAAAUCCAUUGCACAAUCUUGCUCUUCUGAUGGUGAUUUGAGGCUCCUAUCCCUUCAUUUCAAUUAACAGAAUCUAUUACAAUGUACAUCGUGUUAUUGUCUAGCAAUCUUAAGAAGCAGCUUACAAACAGUUUAGCCAUUUGAAAAAAAGCUAUGCCUUAAUUAUUGUGUUGUUGUUGCAUAUACCUUGCCUUACUUCAUGUCAACCCAUAUGGUGGUGAUACCUGUUUUUAAUCUGGAUUAUCGACAGUGUAUGGAUGUUGUUGAUUUUAUCAAAUCUGAUAGAAUGCUUCAUGUGUUGUACAUGAACCUUGAUGCAUAACUGUUGCAUGAGGGCCACAUCAAUGCUCUGCUGGGGUUAUAUGCUGCACUUUGUAAGAGCUUGCAUCUAGGGAUGAAAAAUGCACAUCAAUAGGUAAUUGAUUUUAUUCUUCUUUAUGAUUUGAUAAUUAUGAGCAUCUCCUAAUGUUAAGCUCUUAGUACUAUUUUUAGAUAAAUUUUCACUGUAGUUAAGAGUUAUUUCUUUGGUAAGGCUAAACUUACAAAAGUACGGCGGGAGUUGCUUACUCCUAAAACCAAUGAUUGUGAUGGUGGUUUUUCUGAUGGGGGACUGACAAUAUUUGGAGAUGCACUUGUUGUUUUGUGGGGGUUUCCUUCGGUUUGGGAAAUCAACAUUGUCGAAAAUGGUGAGAUGAACCUUUUCAAGGGCUGCAUUAGUUCGGAUCAUUGAGGCGAGCUUUGUUGAGCCAGGGAGAGUGGUGACGAGGGUGGCUGAAUGAGCGAGGACGUAGCGAGGAACCUGAUAUGAUGUGCUCGUAAGAAGACAAUGAGAUGUGGCAAGGAACAGUAGGAAGGGGUUCAGGGAGUAAGUAGGUAAAAUACUGCAACUACGGCCAUGUUUUUUGUAACCUACAUUAAAUCCUUAUCCAUUGGAUCUGGUUAUUACGAAUGGACAAGAUUGAUUGUGUUAAAGCAGAGUGGUGCUUCUCUAUAUUGUGUCAAAGCAAA